UUCUCUUCAACUCCAAAUUUCAUUUUCCCCCAAAUCGUGAAAUUGUGAAAGCUGAAAGAGUGAAAGGCGAUUGGGGCGAUUGGCAACAAUAUAGAAUCCUCCAAGAAUCCUCUACUUCCAGUUUAUGAUUCCAUCGCCGCCGCCAAAGGUGGCAAGAAAAGCCCCACCAUGACAAAGAAAGGUGCAUUUGCUGCCAUUUCUUACAUGGCUUGUGCUAGACUGGUGCCUGGCAGAGUGGUGCGAGUGGAUGGUGAGUCGGUGACCGGUGAGCAGUGAGCGACAAGGAGGUGGACGAUGGAGUGGUGCGAUCGUGCGAGUUGAGUGGACGCCGAUGGCUAUGAGUGCGACUUCUUGCCUUGAUUCCAAAUCGCUGAGUUAAUAGAAAAUUCACUAUGCCAAUUCCAAUUCCGGUGGAUUGUCAAGCACUUGAUUAUUCCUGCAUAACCGAAGCUUGUAAGUAUGAAAAUUCUCAACGGAACAUACAAAACUGUGAGGGAAAGAAGAGAUCAAAGCAAUCGAUUUUCUGGAACGGGUUGGAUCCUUGACAACAGACAAGAUCUUGAUUUUUUAUUUAGUGGAUAUAGGACUUUCCAUUGAAACAAGCACGACCACCUUCAUCCAGAUCACCACACGUGUUGGAAGGAUUCUUGGCCGUCAAAGAAUUAUAUUACCUUUUCUUCAGCUGCCGGCAAUUAUUGUUGUGCUGAGACAAAGCAAUUAUUGGCAGAUCUGGUUGUUUUCUUGUGUGGGUGGAAAUCAGACUAUCAUGGUUUAAUUGGCAAAUUCCGAUGUCCCUUUUUUGUCCAGAUUUCGGCAUCUUCUGGUUAGGCUCAAUGAACAGAGAAAUCAAAGACAAGGAGAAGCACUUAAGCCUUGUGAAUGAAGAAUGGGUGGGGAAGAUGGCUGUGGCAUUGGUGGUGCGAGAAAGAGAAAGGGAGGAGAAUGGAGAUGGCGGCAGAGAGGAAGAGGAGGAUGAUUGUUCCAGGUGGUUGAGGUGCUUCUGAAAAAUUGGCCAUGUGGCCUGAUUUCUUGUAUGUAACGUGCCACAUCGGAUUUCUGUCCGCCACGUGCCACGUUCUAUUAGUGGAAGGUGACGGAAGUUAAAUGGGUGAUGAAUGGGUAAGGAAUUGUAUAGAUGGGUGAUCAAUAUAUUAUCAUUUAUUGUUCGGUGAGCAAAUAGAAAUAUUAGGCAAAAAUGGGUGAGCAUUGAUUAAAUUUACUCUCCUAGUAAUUUUGGUACUUCCCUCUAUAGUACCCACGAAGAUGUUGAGAGUGGUGCGUGGUUAUUUAACUCUGGAGCCGCCGACAAUAUGACUCUUACUGCCACAGACUUCACUCAAACAUCUUUACCACAACACUCCAACAUUGUCUAUGCCAAUGGCGUGACAUCUCCAAUUACAGGAGCAAGCACAAUAAACUUAUCUCUUUCUCUUCAACUGCAUAAUGCUCUACUUGUGCCUUCUCGUUCGUAUAAGCUGCUAUCUAUGAGCCAGAUUAUCGUUGAUCUAAAUUGUACGGUAUUAUUUUAUCCGAAUUUUUAUCU